rnacentral:rRNA from 1 species
GACGAACGCUGGCGGCGUGCUUAACACAUGCAAGUCGAACGGAGCCCAUCCAGUGGCAACACUGGUGAAGGUUCAGUGGCGAACGGGUGAGUAACACGUGAGCAACCUGCCCCGAAGACCGGGAUAACAGCGGGAAACCGCUGCUAAUACCGGAUGUCCCCACCGGACCGCAUGAUUUGGUGAGGAAAUGGAUUCCGCUUCGGGAGGGGCUCGCGGGCUAUCAGCUUGUUGGUGGGGUAACGGCCUACCAAGGCGACGACGGCUAGCUGG